GACGAACGCUGGCGGCGUGCUUAACACAUGCAAGUCGAACGGAAAGGCCCUGCUUUUGUGGGGUGCUCGAGUGGCGAACGGGUGAGUAACACGUGAGUAACCUGCCCUUGACUUUGGGAUAACUUCAGGAAACUGGGGCUAAUACCUGAUAGGAGCUCCUGCUGCAUGGUGGGGGUUGGAAAGUUUCGGCGGUUGGGGAUGGACUCGCGGCUUAUCAGCUUGUUGGUGGGGUAGUGGCUUACCAAGGCUUUGACGGGUAGCCGGCCUGAGAGGGUGACCGGCGACAUUGGGACUGAGAUACGGCCCAGACUCCUACGGGAGGCAGCAGUGGGGAAUAUUGCACAAUGGGCGGAAGCCUGAUGCAGCAACGCCGCGUGCGGGAUGACGGCCUUCGGGUUGUAAACCGCUUUCGCCUGUGACGAAGCGUGAGUGACGGUAAUGGGUAAAGAAGCACCGGCUAACUACGUG
rnacentral:rRNA from 1 species